AGCGGCGCACGGGUGCGUAACACGUGGGUAAUCUGCCUGGGACAGUGGGAUAACUCGCCGAAAGGCGAGCUAAUACCGCAUAAGCCCUCGGGGACUUCGGUCCUUGCGGGAAAAGGAGCAAUCCGGUCCUAGAUGAGCCCGCGGCCCAUCAGUUAGUUGGCGGGGUAACGGCCCACCAAGACUAAGACGGGUAGCUGGUCUGAGAGGACGGCCAGCCACACUGGAACUGAGACACGGUCCAGACUCCUACGGGAGGCAGCAGUGGGGAAUCUUGCGCAAUGGGCGAAAGCCUGACGCAGCGACGCCGUGUGUGCGAUGAAGGUCUUCGGAUCGUAAAGCACUGUCGCCUGGGACAAAGAAAGUGAUGGUACCAGGAGAGGAAGCACCGGCUAACUCUGUGCCAGCAGCCGCGGUAAUACAGAGGGUGCGAGCGUUGUUCGGAAUUAUUGGGGCGUUAAAGCGCC
rnacentral:rRNA from 1 species